rnacentral:rRNA from 1 species
GAUGAACGCUGGCGGCGUGCCUAAUACAUGCAAGUAGAACGCUGAAGCAGGAGCUUGCUCUUUCCGGCUGAGGUGCGAACGGGUGAGUAACGCGUAGGUAACCUUCCUGGUAGCGGGGGAUAACUAUUGGAAACGAUAGCUAAUACCGCAUAACAGUAGAUAUUCCCUGAUAUUUGCUGGAAAGGGGCAAUUGCUCCACUACCAGAUGGACCUGCGUUGUAUUAGCUAGUUGGUGAGGUAACGGCGCACCCAGGCGACGAUACAGAUACGACCUGUGAGGGUGGUCGGCCAACCUGGGAAUGGGACACGGCCCAGGCUCCUACGGGGAGGAGCAGGAGGGAAACUUCGGCCAUGGGCGGAAGUCUGACCGGGCAACGCCGCGGGGGGGAAUAAGGUUUUCGGGUCGUAAAGCUCUGUUGUAAGGGAAGAAAGAGUGUGAGAGUGGAAAGUUCACGCUGUGACGGUACCUUACCAGAAAGCGACGGCUAACUACGUG